rnacentral:sRNA from 1 species
UUGUUAGGAAAACAAGCAUGGAGGAUCUUAGAACAGCCUCAUUGCCUGAUGUCAAGAAUGCUAAAAGGAAGAUACUUCCCAGACACUAAUAUCAUGGAUGCUAAUCAAGGUCAGAAGGAUUCUUUUAUUUGGAAAUCAAUUUUGCAGGGCAUGGACCUACUAAAGAAGGGAUUUCGCUAUUGUGUUGGUAAUGGGACUCUAGUUAAUGCGUGGUUGGAUCCAUGCUGCCCAUUCACCCGCCGAGACCGCCACAAAAAAACUAGGGAUGCCCUAGAUCAGCAUAUGGUUAGUGAGCUCUUAAACUCAACACGCACAUAUUGGGAUUUCAUCAAACUCGCUACUUAGAUAAUACUUGAUGAUGUGGAGAAUGUCAAAAAUAUUAAAGUUUGUGCAUUAUACAAAGACUGACAUUAUACAAAGACUGGCAUUUAGACUAUGAAAUCUGCAUAUGUUAUACAAACAUAUGUUUUGAAGGAGAUAAUCAUGAGUUGGAAUCAAUUAUCAACAGAAGAAGUCCACACUUUUGAGUUUCAAUUUUGGAUAUGAGAGAUUCGAGCUUAGAAACAAAUAUUUCUAGGAAGCAAAUUUUUAUGAAUAGGAAGAAAACACAACAAACCAGCGGAUAUUCUCGUAAAGCAGCAAUGACCUCAAGGAACAAAAUUUAUCUUUCAUAAUCAUAUUCUUUAUGUAAUUCAUAAUGCUAUGUGUUUGUAUCAUACGUUAUUUCAAUAUUAAUAAGAAGCUACAAUUCAAAAAAAAAUUAAAACCAAAAUCUACACCA